rnacentral:rRNA from 1 species
AGAGAGAGACAUGCGCGCAUAUCAAUAAGCGGAGGAAAAGAAACUAACAAGGAUUCCCUUAGUAACGGCGAGUGAAGCGGGAAGAGCUCAAAUUUGAAAUCUUCAAGGUUUUACCUUGACGAAUUGUAGUUUAAAGAAGUGUUUUCUGCUGAAGUUUUGGUAAAAGUUCUUUGGAAUAGGACAUCAUAGAGGGUGAGAAUCCCGUAUUUGACCAUUAUUUUCAGCUUUGUGAUACACUUUCAAAGAGUCGGAUUGUUUGGGAAUGCAGUCCAAAAUGGGUGGUAAAUUUCAUCUAAAGCUAAAUAUUGGCGAGAGACCGAUAGCGAACAAGUACCUGUGAGGGAAAGAUGAAAAGAACUUUGAAAAGAGAGUUAAACAGUACGUGAAAUUGUCAAAAGGGAAGCGUUUGACACCAGUGUUGUUUUCUCGAAAAUCAAUUAAAAAUGGCUCGAUUUUGUAUUGUUGAGACCUUAAAAGCUCACUGUACAUUUUUCGUGUCUUUUUAAUGCACUUUUCGUUUAACAAGUCAACAUCAGUUUCUUUUGUUGUAAAAGGGUCAUUGGAAGGUGGCUUUCUUUUCGGAGAAAGUGUUUAUAGCCUUUGGCCUCUGCAAUCGGAGAGACUGAGGUCUGCAGCGUAGACUCUUCGGGGUUAGAUACAUUUGUGCUAAGUUAUAGCUUUUUAUAGACAACUUGUUGACUAUAAUUAGUCUUGUAGCUUACUCGCUUAUGCUAUUUUACCUACGCUUAGGAUGUUGAGUCGUAGAGCACGCAG